rnacentral:rRNA from 1 species
AUUGAACGCUGGCGGCAGGCCUAACACAUGCAAGUCGAGCGAGCGGCGGACGGGUGAGUAAUGUAUGGGGAUCUGCCCGAUGGAGGGGGAUAACUACUGGAAACGGUAGCUAAUACCGCAUACUAUCGGAUGCACCCAGAUGGGAUUAGCUAGUAGGUGGGGUAAAGGCUCACCUAGGCGACGAUCUCUAGCUGGUCUGAGAGGAUGAUCAGCCACACUGGGACUGAGACACGGCCCAGACUCCUACGGGAGGCAGCAGUGGGGAAUAGUGCACAAUGGGCGCAAGCCUGAUGCAGCCAUGCCGCGUGUAUGAAGAAGGCCUUAGGGUUGUAAAGUACUUUCAGCGGGGAGGCGUUACCCGCAGAAGAAGCACCGGCUAACUCCGUGCCAGCAGCCGCGGUAAUAC